rnacentral:tRNA from 1 species
GCCUGGGUGGCUCAGUUGGUAGAGUGCCUGCCUUCUGCUCAGGUCAUGAUCUCAGGGUCCUGGGUUUGAGCCCCACAUCAGGCU